CGGAUCCGGACCGCAGCGCAGAGCUCCCCACUGACACCACUUACUGCCCUCAGUGUGUCGUAGCCGCAGGGUUAUACUGGGCUGCCGAACUUCCGGGUCUUCUGUCCAGUGGUAUGUACAGCUGCAGCCUGCAGCUCCAUGUGUGGCUGGAGCGCAGGCUGCAGGGAAGAAGGAGACAGGAUCCUUGCAGUUCACACAUCCGCAGUGUGUGGAGGUGUUGUGAUCGGUGGAGCAGAGAGAAAGUUCAAGCUCCCGUUCCUGUCCUUGGCUGAAUGGGCGGACUUCCAGUGCCGGCUGAAGGGGAAGAUGGCUGCCCGCUGGCGACAUGCGAGGAGGACAGAUGGUGGGCAAAUCCAUCAGACUUUGGAAUACACCACAUUGGAGGAGAUGGCGUUGGGAGGAGGAUGAUCAGCUCAGGCAGCCUGGGGAUGGGGGGGGUCUGGUCCACACUCUGGGGAGCAGCCUGCUGAGCCCCCCCCCCCCAUCAACCAGGAGUUCCUCCUAGCCAUACUAGAUCAAUGCCAGAGGACGGAGCAGUUUCAACAACAGGUGCUCCUGGAGCUGCGUGAGAUGACCUCUACCAUCGACCAAGACAUGUGGGAGAUUCUGACCCAAAGGCUGGCUGGCUAAACUAAGCAGCAGAGCAGCGGCACAAACACCCGGCAGUCACAUCUCUGUAGAUAUGUGUUUCAAAUGAGUAACGUAUUAGCAGUAACCAGUAAAAAUGUUUUUCUGUGCAAAUAACACCAUCACCAAUGCCCCCCCCCACACAAAAAAACAAAAACAAAUGCAGCCCAUUAUGAAAAGGAAAGUGGUGCAAGAUGGAGUUGUCCUCGGGUCCUCUCACCCAUCCUUAUGUUGGCUAUAAUGAAGGACAUGCAAAGCUGAACAGACCCAAGCACUGCAGCAACAAGUGCCUGAUUUGUUUGGGCCCCCAUAAAACAAGCUACCAUGGGCUCCCGCUUACGGGUCCCACGUUUUAUGCAGUCUAUCCUCCGGUUCCGGGAGACAGACCGGAGGGCACUGAUGUGUGCCCAGACCCCGGCCUUGGACUACACUAGACCAGUAGGGCCGCUCUGUUACAUGGAAGUGAGCUGUGGAUUAGUCCUGCUUCUACUGCCGGUCAUUAUACAAGAUGACAAUGUUAUAAAAGAACAAUGUAUUUUAUAUGAUCCAAAAAAGCUAAUAUUCCAAUACAUUAAUAUUUAUAUUCACUGAUUACUAUAUGACAAUAAUUGACAUUACAUGAGGAAUAAUUCCAUGUAUAAUUUGUAUUGUACACACUAGGAGGACCUCUCUAAUUUACAAAAGACAAACCACUAGUAUCGUAGAAUAAACACUGGAAACUAGAAUAACAAAAAAAUUUACUUUGUUUUUAUUUUUCAAAUGUUAUUCAAAAACGGAUCAGAAAUGUAAAAAUAAUUCACAUUUUCUGUAAUUUAUGUGUGUAAUGAUUCAAAGAAAUGCAAAUGCCACAGCGCCACCUAGUGCUGAAAUGCGGAGUUGCAGAUUGAAAUUAAAACUUUUUUUAAUCUAAGUGGAAAAUGUCUGUGAAGGUUUCAUACAUAUUGUAAUCAUAUGUUUCCCAUUGUAAGUUCAAUAAAAAAAUAAUCA